AACGAACGCUGGCGGCAUGCCUAACACAUGCAAGUCGAACGACACCUUCGUGACUAGUUGCGCACGGGUGCGUAACGCGUGGGAACCUUCCCUUAGGUUCCGAAUAACUCCCCGACAGGGGUGCUAAUACCGGAUAAUGUCUUCGGACCAAAGAUUUAUCGCCCUUGGAUGGGCCCGCGUUGGAUUAGCUAGUUGGUAGGGUAAAAGCCUACCAAGGCUACGAUCCAUAGCUGGUCUGAGAGGAUGAUCAGCCACACUGGGACUGAGACGCGGCCCAGACUCCUACGGGAGGCAGCAGUGGGGAAUAUUGGACAAUGGGCGAAAGCCUGAUCCAGCAAUGCCGCGUGAGUGAUGAAGGCCUUAGGGUUGUAAAGCUCUUUUACCCGGGAUGAUAAUGACAGUACCGGGAGAAUAAGCUCCGGCUAACUCCGUG
rnacentral:rRNA from 1 species